UAGGGAAUCUUCCGCAAUGGACGAAAGUCUGACGGAGCAACGCCGCGUGAGUGAAGAAGGAUUUCGGUUCGUAAAACUCUGUUGUUAGGGAAGAAAAAAUGUAUAGUAACUAUAUACAAAAGAGACGGUACCUAACCAGAAAGCUACGGCUAACUACGUGCCAGCAGCCGCGGUAAUACGUAGGUGGCAAGCGUUGUCCGGAAUUAUUGGGCGUAAAGCGCGCGCAGGUGGUUUAGAAAGUCUGAUGUGAAAGCCCACGGCUCAACCGUGGAGGGUCAUUGGAAACUAAUAAACUUGAGUGCAGGAGAGAAAAGUGGAAUUCCUAGUGUAGCGGUGAAAUGCGUAGAGAUUAGGAGGAACACCGGUGGCGAAAGCGGCUUUUUGGCCUGCAACUGACACUGAGGCGCGAAAGCGUGGGGAGCAAACAGG
rnacentral:rRNA from 1 species